rnacentral:lncRNA from 1 species
AUAAUUCAGCGGCAACGCAGCUGGGGCCUGGCACACAGGGUCCCUGUGAUGAGGAGGGGCUGCCCCUGCCGGAAUGCACCAGAGGCUGCCACCAGGGAGAGAGUUACAAGGACCACUUCCGUGGACCUGGCAGGUCCUAGGGCCCCCUUUAAAAUUGUGCCUGGGGAGAGUCCCUGGCGCUGCUCCGGAGGAUCAUGGAGCCCGACUCUACUCACAGGGGAGACCACACAGCUUCUGCGGGGCAAGACAGCUGAGGAGCAUGUCAGGACAGUGCCAUCUGCCACCAAGGCAGCUCCAGAGAGUGGGACAGCUGUGAGAGGCGGGACCUGUCCAGGCUCCCUGAUGGGCACUCACAGCCCCCUUCACCCUCAGCGAGGCACUUGCCCCAAUGAAAACUGAGCAGUUGGACAAUCUGAUGUCUUGGAGGGUCCAGAGUCUCACUCUGUUGCCCAGGCUGGAGUGCGAUGGCAUGAUCUCGGCUCCCUGCAAUCUCCACCUCCCAGGUUCAAGCAAUUCUCCUACCUCAGCCUCCUGAGUAGCUGGGAUCACAGGCACACACCACCAUGCCCGGCUAAUUUUUGUAUUUUUAGUAGAGACGGGGUUUCACCAUGUUGGCCAGGCUGGUCUCCAACUCCUGACCUCAAGUGAUCAGCCUGCCUCGGGCUCCUAAAGUGCUGGGAUUACAGGCGUGAGCCACCGCGCCCGGCCAUAGGGCAUCCUCUUAAUUAGAGUGUGAGGCCUGCGGAUAUGGGCUGGGGAAUAAGUUGAUGCUGACAGAAAAUAACUUAAACCAUUGAAAGGAACAGGAAGUAAACAGAAGCAAAUAUUUACCGAAUCCCUGGUGAGAAGGAACUUUCCAAGAAUAAAGGGAAGGAUGAGUUCACUUUGACUGUGUGGAAGCUAAAUUCUCAGGUGGCUCAAAGGAAAACAUCAAGCUAAAAGACAAGAAAUGAGGCGGGUAAAUUUUUGACACUAACAUGACAAAAAAUUAAUAGCAUUAACACGGCAGGAACUUAUCUGAAGCAGCAACACCAAGGGCAAUGUGAGUGAACUGCAGACAAGGCAACCCGGACGCCAUGGGACACGCCACAGAGCAGGCUGCCUUGUCCCCACUCUGCCUACAUGUGAGACCCACCAGACUCACAGUGAACACAUCCCAGCCCCUCCGGCCGGGCACCACGGAAGGCCCUCCCUCCUCCACUGAGGGCAGGGAUCACAGGGCCAGGUUUUUGUCAUCGGACAAGGGGUGUCCCAAGUCAUGAGAUGCUUAACCCAUGAAUGCCCCCUCUUGGAGUCUAUGCUAAUUAAACACGUAGAGGGGCGGACUUCACUCUGCCAGCUCAGAUAAUGACCACAGCAUAUUUAUAACCACAAAGAGGUGGAAACAGCUACACUAUCCAACAGUGGGGAAAUGUUUAAGUCAAUGCUGGGAGAGUAACACCAUGGACCAGCCCCGAAGAGACAUCUGUGGUGAGUGAAAUGCACGCCAUACAAGCCCAGAGAGACUGUGAACUUGGAAGAAAGAAUAGGUGCACACAAUAAGACUGGGAGGAAAUGAACAAACUAUCAUCGGCCAUGAGGUUCUCCUUUACUUACAAUAAGUAUAUGCAGCACAGACAUGAGAAAGGCAUUCCUGGAGUGUGAAGCCCAGGGCAAGAGGAUGCGGGUGUCCUGAGCAAGCAAUAAUGCCAGCACCUUCUGCAAGGAGCUCUGCUGGGCCACCUCUUGGGCAACAAACCAUCCUGGGACAUCUUGCAGACAAGGAAACAGGCUUCAGGAGGCAAUGGUGCCUCUUGAAGGGCAGGGCACACAGCCACAGGGCCACCUUCUGCAUGGCUCCCACCGCAGCUGAGUCUCCAAGGAAGCUGGGUUUUUACAGGGGCAGGUCCUCAAGGUGGAUACCCCUUUGCUAAAGGCUCUGCCCCAGCAACCCACAAGCAGCCACUUGCCCUGGGCUCCAGGCGGCUGCCCUCCCCUUGCUGUCCUCUGGACUGUUUAGUAUGCAGAAGGACCAGCCCUGCAAGGCCACCAUAAAUCCUGCCCCUGUCCUACAGCAGAUCAAUUGCCAAUCGGCUCCAAAUCCCCUAGAUGUCUCAGCAGCUUGGCCCAGCUGUAGGAGCCACGGCCAUGGUUGGCUCUAGAUGCUGCUGGCUAUAUAUAUUGAACUUGAAGCAUCGGAUUACAUGUUUGUUCAAUAGCAAUAAACUCCCAAAGUUUUAUGGGGUCA